UACAGAGGGGGCAAGCGUUGUUCGGAAUUACUGGGCGUAAAGGGCGCGUAGGUGGCCUUCUAAGUCGAACGUGAAAUCCCUGGGCUCAACCCAGGAACUGCGUCCGAGACUGGGAGGCUUGAAUCCGGGAGAGGGAUGCGGAAUUCCAGGUGUAGCGGUGAAAUGCGUAGAUAUCUGGAGGAACACCGGUGGCGAAGGCGGCAUCCUGGACCGGGAUUGACACUGAGGCGCGAAAGCCAGGGGAGCAAACAGG
rnacentral:rRNA from 1 species